GGCUUUCUUGGCGCGGGAACUCGACCGGCGACACCGUUGAUCGCCGCCUUCAUCGACGAGUAUCGCCAAGUCUACGGUGGCGAGUCGAUCUGCCGGGCGCUGUCGGCGCACGGCGUGCAGAUCGCACCG
rfam:Saccharomonospora sp. LRS4.154 Saccharomonospora_sp154_contig3, whole genome shotgun sequence.